rnacentral:rRNA from 1 species
GACGAACGCUGGCGGCGUGCUUAACACAUGCAAGUCGAACGGAAAGGCCCCUUUGGGGGUACUCGAGUGGCGAACGGGUGAGUAACACGUGAGUAACCUUCCCUUGACUUCGGGAUAACUUCAGGAAACUGGGGCUAAUACCGGAUAGGAAUCCUUGCUGCAUGGUGGGGGUUGGAAAGCUUCGGCGGUUUUGGAUGGACUCGCGGCUUAUCAGCUUGUUGGUGGGGUAGUGGCUUACCAAGGCUUUGACGGGUAGCCGGCCUGAGAGGGCGACCGGCCACAUUGGGACUGGGAUACGGCCCAGACUCCUACGGGAGGCAGCAGUGGGGAAUAUUGCACAAUGGGCGGAAGCCUGAUGCAGCAACGCCGCGUGCGGGAUGACGGCCUUCGGGUUGUAAACCGCUUUCAGCAGGGGCGAAGCUUGUGGUGACGGUACCUGCAGAAGAAGCACCGGCUAACUACGUG